rnacentral:rRNA from 1 species
GACGAACGCUGGCGGCGUGCUUAACACAUGCAAGUCGAACGGAAAGGCUCUGUUUUUGUGGCGUGCUCGAGUGGCGAACGGGUGAGUAACACGUGAGUAACCUGCCCUUGACUUUGGGAUAACUUCAUUAAACUGGGGCUCAUACCGGAUAUGAGCUCCUGCUGCAUGGUUGUUAUGUGUAAGUGUCGGCGGUUCGUCAUGGACUCGAGGUUAAUCAGCUUGUUGGUGGGGUAGUGGCUUACCAAGGCUUUGACGGGUUGCCGGCCUGGGAGGGUGACCGGGCACAUUGGGACUGGGAUAGGGGCAAGAGGGCAACGUGAGGAAGAGGUGGGAAAUAUUGCACGAUGGGCCGAAGGCUGAUACAAGGAUUUCGGGUGCGGAAAGACGGCUUUCGGGGUGGAAAGCGCUUGAGCCUGUAAAGAUGAGUGAGUGACGGUAACGAGUAAAAAAGCAACGGCUAACUACGUG